AUGAGCCGGCUGCCAUCCAGUUUCACACGGAUCCUCUCACCCAUAAGUUUCAUUUGGGAAGACCAAGUCUUUAAGGAUGGCGUCGUGCACUGCUGCCAGGGUGAAGAUCCAGGGGGCGCUUUUGCUUAUUUUUCACACUGCUUUUCAGGUUGGCUUGGGCAGAAUCCUCCUCUCAGCAGUGAAGACUACCUCCUUCCCACUGAACUUUUUCUCCAGUUCAUGAACUUGCCGGACUUGGAUUUGCUGGAAAGACUUCAGCGAGGAACUGGCACAAAAAUCCUGAUAGCUUUCCGACCACCACUGACUUCAAUUUCCUUGGCCACGGUGAUGUUGAGUCCCCACAGCCGCGCCUUGAGAUCUGAGUUCACUCCAGCUUGGGCAGCGCCUGAGAGAUGCCAGACUCGCACUGGUUCGGCUUCUCAUCAUUGGGCUUUAGCAGUCUUGGCUCUCGAGCUGAGCACAGCUUUGUCCUCAUGGAGUGCCGGCUUACAAAGAGGCACAGCGAGACGAAAAGAAAGAUUUAAAACACAAAAUCCUGGCCUGGUUAAGGAGUUAGUCAUUAUCUGAAACUUGCUGACUUUGAACAAGAUUAAAAGCAGAUGGAGAGAGAUGGAGUGGUGAAGAAGAUGCAGCAAGCAUUUGGUAUCCUUAAUACAAGACAUGGAGUAAGGUAGAGAACAUACAGGAGGCUGGACAAUGGACUUCCCAGUGAAGACCUCAUAGUUCAGCAACUACUGAUAGAGUCACUGUGAUGCUUCUGAGUCACCAGAGCACAGAACACUGAGGACCUCCACAACCUUCCUGUCCCCAACCAGAACCCCUUCAGGGGACAACACAGACCCUUACAAGCUCAAGUGAGAGUUUAUUUACUCUCAUGGUAAUCCACUAUUCGUCUAAUAAAUACAAAUACAG
rnacentral:lncRNA from 1 species